GAUGAAGAACGCAGCGAAAUGCGAUACUUGGUGUGAAUUGCAGAAUCCCGUGAACCAUCGAGUCUUUGAACGCAAGUUGCGCCCGAAGCCAUUAGGCCGAGGGCACGCCUGCCUGGGCGUCACACGUCGUUGCCCCCCCAUCUACUCCUUCGGGAUUGCGGGGGGCGGAUGAUGGCCUCCCGUGCGCCUCGUCGCGCGGUUGGCAUAAAUGCCAAGUCCUCGGCGACGCACGCCACGACAAUCGGUGGUUGCGAAACCUCGGUUGCCCGUCGUGUGCGGUCGUCGCGCAUCGAGGGCUCGAAAAAAGUGUCGGGCUCCGGCUCGGCUUUCAACGCGACCCCAGGUCAGGCGGGGUUACCCGCUGAAUUUAAGCAUAUCAAUAAGCGGAGGA
rnacentral:misc_RNA from 1 species